rnacentral:rRNA from 1 species
AUUGAACGCUGGCGGCAUGCUUUACACAUGCAAGUCGAGCGGCAGCGCGGGGCAACCUGGCGGCGAGCGGCGAACGGGUGAGGAACACAUCGGAACGUACCCGAGAGUGGGGGAUAACGCCGCGAAAGCGGCGCUAAUACCGCAUAUUCUCUAUGGAGGAAAGUGGGGGACCGCAAGGCCUCACGCUCACGGAGCGGCCGAUGUCCGAUUAGCUAGUUGGUGGGGUAAAGGCUUACCAAGGCGACGAUCGGUAGCUGGUCUGAGAGGAUGAUCAGCCACACUGGGACUGAGACACGGCCCAGACUCCUACGGGAGGCAGCAGUGGGGAAUUUUGGACAAUGGGGGCAACCCUGAUCCAGCCAUGCCGCGUGCGGGAAGAAGGCCUUCGGGUUGUAAACCGCUUUUAGCCGGGAAGAAAAGGCGAUUCCUAAUAGGGGUCGUUCUUGACGGUACCGGCGGAAUAAGCACCGGCUAACUACGUGCCAGCAGCCGCAGUAA